GCUUUCAGUUUCCCGGUUGUAAAAUAUCAUUUUAUUGAUAACAGCAUUGCUUUAGGGUUUACCUAUCACAAUUGAUAGAUUUCAGGAUUAUGUUUACAAUGUUUGGACUUCAAUAACAUGUGUGUCCGCAUAACGGAAACGUUAUUCCUGCCAAAAAAUGCCAAUUGGUUAACUGAUACGACGUGUUUGUCUUAAAUCACGAGAUACUUGUUUCGUCGUCUUUAAUGUUUUUAGAUUGUUUUUCG
rnacentral:lncRNA from 1 species